AUUGAACGCUGGCGGAAUGCUUUACACAUGCAAGUCGAACGGCAGCACGGACUUCGGUCUGGUGGCGAGUGGCGAACGGGUGAGUAAUGUAUCGGAACGUGCCCAGUCGUGGGGGAUAACGUAGUGAAAUUUACGCUAAUACCGCAUACGAUCUAUGGAUGAAAGCGGGGGAUCGCAAGACCUCGCCCGAUUGGAGCGGCCGAUAUCAGAUUAGGUAGUUGGUGGGGUAAAGGCCCACCAAGCCAACGAUCUGUAGCUGGUCUGAGAGGACGACCAGCCUCACUGGAACUGAGACACGGUCCAGACUCCUACGGGAGGCAGCAGUGGGGAAUUUUGGACAAUGGGCGAAAGCCUGAUCCAGCCAUUCCGCGUGCAGGAUGAAGGCCCUCGGGUUGUAAACUGCUUUUGUACAGAACGAAAAGGUUUCUACUAAUACUAGGAGCUCAUGACGGUACUGUAAGAAUAAGCACCGGCUAACUACGUGCCAGCAGCCGCAGUAA
rnacentral:rRNA from 1 species